CCGCUUACCGAUGGCAGCGAGGCGGGGCGAGAGCGGCCGGGGCAGCGCUCGGCACCCGCUGCACUCGCGAGCAACGCGGGGCGGGGCUGCGGCUCCGUCCUGCGCGGCGCGGGCUCGGGCGCCAUGAGGCUGCCUUGAGUGCGUGGGGACUGGGCUGGGAAGGGGCUGCGGGAGCUGAGGGCGGCGGGGCGCUGCCGCAUAGCGGGAGCAGAGUCUGUGUCCAAGUCUGUUGAGAACGCUGUAUAAAUAGCUAAAAGGCUUGUGUCGACAGGACGGAGCCAGGUUUUUCUCAGUGCCGCCGAGCAAUAGGACAAAAGGCAAUGUACACAAACGGAUGCACAGGAAGUCCCACCUGAAGAACUUCCACGAGGAAGAACUUCGUUACCGUGCAGGUGACCGAGCACUGGAUCAGAUUUCCCAGAGAGAUUGUGUAUCUCACGGGAGAUACUCAAGAACUGUAUAGACACAAACCUGUGCCACGGGCAGGCUGGAAUCUGGCUGAGCAGACAGGUCGGACCAAAUGACCUCGUGUCUCCUAGCCUGGCCGGCUGUGUGACCCUGUGCGGCGCGGCCCCCGCGCUCCCCGCCGAGCCCGCACGCCGCUGCCGCUGCCCGCCCGCCCGGGGCGCGCUGCGGAGGCGGCGCCGGCGCCGUGGGCUGAGCGGGCGGCGGCUGAACUGAAAAGCAGACUCGAAAUAGGGUCUGAUUAUCUCUGUUGAGAGGGAGGCCAGGUGACGUGAGAUGACGUCUUAGGGAGCUACUGAAUGCUUGCAGUUUCAGGCUAAGAUCACCAACGUAGAAGACAGUGGCUAAUGUGCUUUACUGACCUGGCAGAGGCUAUCUUCAGCAGAUUUUAUGUCCAAGGCUUUGGGGAAAAAAAAAGUUGAAGAUUAAACUAAAAGCUUUAAACUAACUUUAUCCAUUGUCCUUUCUAUUCAGCAUUCAAAGUAUAGAGCAUUUGUGCUUGGUGGGAAGCAAGAGGAGAAAUUUCAGUCAGAGGUCCUUUUAAACCAAUGACAGCAACCUACUUUUAUCUGAAAGAAUAAGUUAUCUUUAGUUUAAUGACUGCUGAAAUGUCUGAUGGCUCACAGCUGCACUGUGCUUAUAUGGAGUUCCAGGGGUGAUAUACAACAAUGUAGCAGACAUCUUGUAAUGAUCCCAGUGUUAUGGUAGAAAGGACAGACCAUUAUUAUUGAACCUGAUGUUGGUUAAAACAUCUGUAUGUGAAACCUGCCUGUCUUUAAAACAGAAGAUAGUGACCACCAUUCUCUUCUGUAGUUGUUUUUCAUGGGAAUUCUAUUUUUCGUUUCAGGACAGAAGGGAUGUAGUCCAUAUAAUAAUAAUAUCACUAUGAAAUUAUCUUUCUUUAAAAACACAAUAUUUAACAGAAAUUACUUUCUGAAAAGGUUUGAAGUUUGUCAGAGAGUAUUCCAUUAAACUACCUGUUUGUGGUUCUGUGCAGACUUUAUGGUAGAAAUUAUAAGCUGACUUUUGUUGAAGUAAUCAUGGCAAUGGAUGAAUCCUAAAUAAAUGUAAGGAAUUAUCACUUCCCUUGAAUAAAAUACCAAGCAUCAAAAAUGAA